AGUCAACUGAACAGGUCUCGACGGAAGUUGCAGAGAAGCUGAUCGUGUUUCGUCUUGGUUUCACUGUAGAGGAAAUCAAAAGAGGUGGAAGGAGGUACACGUCCCGCCGAGAUUUUGAGAGCGACGAGGUCCAUCCAUCUCGGAAGACGACGGUAGGGAGCUUCGGUUCGCCGGAGAGGAACGUCGGUGCUCGACGUGUUCAGCCUUUGUCACCGUCAAUCUCAGGUCAUAGUGAUAUGGGCUUUGGACCUGGAUGUUUCUAUUUGGGCCUGUAUGUUUUGAGGCAGAAAUAUUAACAGGAGUUGGGUCAUUCUCCGGUGGAAGUAAAGCUCUAAGACGUGUUUCUUCUCAUUUUCUUGCUUCGGAGAAGUGUAAGCUUAGCAGCAAGAUAGAGAAAGUCCAGCGACUGGUGUGAAUAUGGUUCUCUUGGUGAAUACUACACAAAGAGAUGAAGUGGUGAAAAAACCAGAUUUUCUUCAAUGAGAAGAGAGAAACAGAGGGUUCUCGAGAUACUUCUCAUGGUGGUUUUUCUUUAUAAGGGUAUCUUUGAUGAAGUUUUCUCUUGCUCAAUGGAAGGAGCAGCUAGUAGUUGCUGUUAGUAGCGUCAGAGGUGAAGAGGAUUAGAAGUAAAUCUGGUCCAAGACAGAGAAGAAACUGGUGAAGGAAAGAGUAUCAAGUCCAAACGAGUCUCUUUCCCGUGAGUGACACUGGCUUUCUUCCACGGAUUGAAGUCUGAUGAUGAAGACUUCCAUGUUUCCUUCGGUGAAGACAAGAAGCAUAUUCUGUAGAAGAGACAAGAACAGAGUAUCUUUGCUCUGAAUAAUACUUUUCUCCUUGAGUAAAAUGGUUCGAUUACAUCAUCUAUUUAACAUGACAAGAAGAACAAUCUAGACUAAAGAUAAGGACAGCUAAGGCUGCCAGCUAGAAAGGCUUUGCAGCAUCUUGGAGUUGGGCUUGAGGCAUCCGAAGGCCCACUAAUGCUGCAUCACUUACACUCCCCCUCAAACUUGAGGUGGGAGGAACUCCAACACCAAGUUUGAACCUCAAGUCACUGAACUCACGCUUAGGUAGGGACUUAGUAAAGAUGUCAGCCAAUUGUUGAGCAGAGGGAAUGUGCCGAGUUUCUAUCAAUCCAAGUGCAACUUGUUCCCUGAUGUAGUGAAAGUCGGUAUCAAAGUGCUUGGAUCGAUUAUGCAGAGCAGGAUUAGUACUGAGAUAGACAGCAGAAAGGUUGUCACAGCGGAGCACCAUUGAGUUGGGCUGAGACACUCCAAUAUCACGCAGCAAGAAGGAAAUCCAAGUAGUUUCCUGAGCUGUAGAACAGAGGGCUCUAUAUUCGGCUUCAGUAGAGGAUCUAGACACAGUCGCUUGACGUUUUGCAGACCAAGAUAUCAAGUUAGGACCCAACAUAGUACAGAAACCAGUGGUAGACCGUCUUGUUUCUCGACAACCAGCCCAGUCACUAUCACAGUAUGCUGAUAGUGUUAACCCUGUAUCUUUCUUGAUAUGAAGACCCAGAUGAACCGUACCUUUAAUAUACCGGAGAAUCCUCUUCAAGAGCCUAAAGUCUACUAGAGUAGGCGCAUGCAUCCGUUGACAAACGAGGUUCACAGCAUAUUGGAUAUCAGGUCUUGAUAUCGUCAAGUACUGAAGCUUUCCAGCUAGGCUUCGAUAAUAUGUAGGGUCAGUGAACAGCUCAGAGGGUGAAUCAUCGAUCUUUGAUGGCAAAGGGGUAGGCAUUGGGUUGCAGUCUGUCAUUGCAGCUUGAUGCAAUAUCUCUUUUGCAUAUGCUUGUUGAUGAAGAAAGAUUCCCCCUGAAUACUGCUCCAUCUCUACACCAAGAAAGUAUUUAGGUGGACCAAGAUCCUUCAUAGAAAAUCUUGUAUUCAACGCAGACGACAACUCAGCUAGAAGCUUCUCAUCACUGCCAGUUAAGAGAAUGUCAUCGACGUAGAGUAAGAGUACCAAUGACUUUCGAUCAUGAUGGUAGGUGAACAGAGAAGGAUCAGAUCUGCAGCAGACAAAACCAAACUCAAGGAGGAAACUGCUAAAAGUAUCAAACCAAGCCCGUGGGGCCUGUCUAAGACCAUACAAAGCUUUGGUUAGACAGCAGACAUGAUCUGGCCUAUUCGGAUCCACAAAGCCAUCAGGUUGAAACAUAUACACAGGUUCAGACAAUUCUCCAUGAAGAAAUGCACUUGACACAUCCAACUGCUUAAUAGGCCAGUCUCUUGCAGUUGCAACAUUGAGCAUGACUCUGAUAGUGGCAGUUCUCACGACGGGACUAAACGUCUCGAGAUAAUCAACUCCUUCUUCUUGUUGAUUACCACGAGCAACAAGGCGUGACUUAAGCUGCUUGACCGUCCCAUCUGGAUUCAACUUCACUGUGUGUACCCAACCACUUGAUAGAACAUUCAUGUCAGGAGUUCUUGGAAUCAAGGUCCAAGUGUUGAGAAUAUGGACUUUUGUGAUCUCUUCUGUAACUGAAUUGUUCCAACCGGGAUGUGCCAUAGCCUCAUUUAUGUUCCAACCGGGAUGUGGCACCUCAGGAACAAAUUUGGAAGACAACAGAGCAUAGCGAGAGUUAGGCUUGGAGAUUCCUGACUUUGCACGAGUCCUCAUAGCAUGAACAUUUUGAUCUGGCAGAACAGGGACCACUUGUUGCUGAACGUGAACAGGAGAUAUAGGUGGAGAAGCUACAUCCUGAUGAUCCACUACCACUCCAGGAGGUGGAGUUGGUGGGAGAGGAACAGUAGGAAGAAGCUUUGGUAUAGAAGUAGCUGGUUCCUGUUCUGGUGUAGACGUAGCAGACUGCCAUGCUUUAAGGAGUCGUGUCUCAUAUCUAGGCACCAGUGACUUAUACUGCUCCUUAAACGGGAAGAGUUCUUCAUCAAAGAUGACGUGCCUUGAUAUAUAGACUCGUCCUGUGGGUGGGUAUAAACAUCUAUAGCCCUUGUACUGAGAGCUAUAACCAAGAAACACACACUGCAACGAUCUUGGCUCAAGCUUGUGCUCAGUAACAUCUCUGAGACAAGGGUAACACGCAGAUCCAAAACUCCGGAGGUGAGAGUAGUCAGGCUUAUGCUUCAGCAACAUUUUGAUGGGACUCUUAGCUUCAUUUGUCACGCGAGGAAGAUAGUUGCUGAGGUAAGAGGCCGUGUGAAAAGCUUCAACCCAGUAGUGGAGCGGAAGGUGACUCUGAAACAUCAUAGAGAGACCAAGCUCUAUGAUGUGUCUGUGUUUACGUUCUGCCAUACCGUUUUGUUGUGGCGUAUGAGGACAUGAAACUUGAUGCUUAAUGCCUGAGUCUACUAGAUGUUGCUUUAGUUUGUUGUUGAUAAACUCACCACCACCAUCCGUUUGAAGGAUUUUAAUCUUUGUUGAGUACUGAUUCUCCACUAGUUUUUGAAACCCAACAAAGAUAGAAUAAAACUCUGCUUUAUUACUCAACGGGUAGAACCAACUAUAACGGGAGAAUUCGUCUACAAAGAUUGCAUAAUAACGAAACCCCUGAUUUGAAACAACCGGAGAGGGACCCCAGAGAUCACAGUGGAUACAUCCUAGAGGUUCAGAAACUAAAGAAGUUGAAACAGAAAACUGCAGUCUGCUACUCUUGCUCAUCUGACACGGCUGACAGAGAGACUUCUUGUUGCUCUUAUUCAUGAUGAUUGCCUUGCUGCUUUGAAGUUGUUGAGGAGUCUUAGAGUUCGUGUGUCCUAAUCUUGAGUGCCAAACCUCCUCUGAUGCAGAGACUUGUCUGUUCGAGAAGAGAACCUCAAACUCAUUGCUCUUCAACUGAUAUAACCCUUUACUUCGAGGCCCUUUGGCUAUCACUCGCUGAUUCGGUAUAUCAAUCACAUAGACAUGGUUAACAUCAAAAUAAACUCCACAUGGAUAAUCAUCACACAGCUUAGACACAUAUAGCAGAGAUUUCUUAAUAUCCGGACAAACAAGAACUUCAUUCAAAGUAAUAGUACCUGCAGGAAUUGUGAUAGCCGCAGAACCAACAUGACUGAUAGGAAGGAAGGCUCCAUCACCAACCAUUAUUGUGUCUUGACCCUCAUACGGAUGAGCUGUCUGAAGGUUUUGAGCUGAUGCAGUGACAUGAGCAGAUGCACCGGAGUUUGGAUACCACUCUCGUGAAGGCUCCUCACCAUGGCGCUCCAAGUUAUAAGCUGCAGGUUGAUAGUUGUUAUCAAACCUGUUGUAACACUUCAACGCUGUGUGACCUUGACGUCCACAGAUCUGACAGACUUGGCGCCCUUGAGCAGAGUUAGGUGGUGCUUGAUGUUGAACAAAGCCACGACCACGAGAAGUGUAUCCACCUCUGCCUCUAUAAGGCGACCUUCCACGUCCUCUGUAGUUAGGGUUGUAGCUUGGAGCAGACGUCUUGGCUUCUGGAUUGACAUCAGUGCGCUGAGUGUUAUACGCCAUGUGAGGUGAGACGGUAGUGUUGUCUUCAUACGACUUCAGCUUGGACUCAAUGCCUUGAACUUCAGACACCACAUCAUUGAACGUUGGCUGAGGAAACUUCGACAGAGAGCUCUGUAUGACGGUGGUAAUAGGAUCGUACUCACGCCCUAACCCAUUCAGAAAGCCAAAUAUCUUCAUUGAUUCUUCAACAGGCUUACCAAUGGAGCUUAGUGAGUCACACAGAGUUUUGAACUCACGGCUGUAGACUGCAAGCGUCUUGCCUUUGCUCGACAGAACCUGGAGGUUUCUGCGAAGCGUAAACUCCCGAGACAGAGAGCUUUUGUUGAAGUUUUCAGCCAGAGACAACCAAAUAUCACGAGCCGUGUUCAAGUUAUGAACAUGACCCAACACUUCUUCAGAGAGCGUUCCAAACAACAAAGACUUCACGAGCUGAUCCGUACAGAACCAAAACUCGAACAGAGGGUUAGCCUCUUGAGUAGCAACUUCAUUGUUCACAACGGUACGAGUGGGCUCCGGUGGCGUGACACCACCGUUAACAAAACCGAUAAGCUUCUGACUUGAGAGGAGGGACUCGAACUGCGUCUUCCAUAGAAGAUAGUUGGAGUCCUUGAGCUUGAGGGUAACAGAGCUGACAACAUGGAUCUUACUAGGAAAAGGAUAAGGAUUGACAGGAUCGGCCAUAGCUACCCGUUAAGGUUUCUAUAGCUCUGAUACCAUGUAGAAGAGACAAGAACAGAGUAUCUUUGCUCUGAAUAAUACUUUUCUCCUUGAGUAAAAUGGUUCGAUUACAUCAUCUAUUUAACAUGACAAGGAGAACAAUCUAUACUAAAGAUAAGGACAGCAAAGGCUGCCAGCUAGAAAGGUAUCAGUCCUCCUCUCCAACGGAUAGGAGCGCAUCAAAUUGGUUGCCAAUCCUUACCGUACUCUUUUGUUUUUGCUCUGCUUGAGACCGUUGUCUUUGACUCUGUUUUGCAGGCUUUGCAGCAUCUUGGAGUUGGGCUUGAGGCAUCCGAAGGCCCACUAAUGCUGCAUCACUUACAUAUUCGAGAUGCUACAGAGAGAAAGAUUAUAUCUUGAUGCAGGAAGAAAGAGAUGUGUUGUAAGACCACUCUUGGUGAGCAUCAAAGAGUUUCUACAGUGGUGAUCAUGAAAGCAGUUGUCGUUCAGUAUUGGAGUAACCUGCAAGAGGAUGGUGUUUGGUGGAGAUUUCUCACCGGUUAAAGUUGGUCUCUGGUACAAGAAAGGCAUGAGCUCAGGUUAUGUGGCUCAAGGCAUGUAAUCAGGAUCAAAGCAUCAUCUUGAAGACUCAAGCCUUGGAGAUAUUUAAUCUACAUUAGCUGCAAUCACAUGGUAAAUUUGUGAUGCUUAUGCUGGUGUUUUCUGUUCUGCUCAUGUUCUGCAAUUUUGAAAGGAAUUGAAAGCUUGUUGGAACACAUUGGUAUCUACUGAUUUUGCAAGGGAUUGGCCAAGAUUCAGUGAUGAGGUUUUCAGUCUGUGUCUUUUGGUUAAAUCAGUGUGGUAAAUCAGAUUUGGUUGGUGUUCAAGUUUAACUGUUAUUUCAGCCGGUUAAUCAUAGAUUCUUGGGACUAAUUAAGGGAUGCCUUAGAACCUUGAAUCUUAUGAUUUCUUAUGGCUAUCUUGAGUUUUCAGAAGGGGUUUUCUGGAUUCGGUUUAAAGCAAGCUGCAGAAUUGUUAUGAGGGAAGUCAGAUAUGCUGUUGGGUUAAAGACAGGGUAAAGGUUAAUGAAAACUUCAGUGGUUGGUUCAGAUUUGAGUAAAGAUCUGAUGCAGUGUAAUUGUUACUGGGUUAUCAGUUUCUUGUGAGUUUCAUUACAAAGUUUCAAGAGUGCUUUAAGGGCAUGGUGAAGGCAUGUUUAAACAAGGAAAUGAUCAUGGUUUGUAUCGAAAGUCUUCCUGAUAAUGAGUGUUAGGCGGCGUGUCUUGUUAAGUGUUAACAACGGUACAAGCUGGUGUUCAAGGUGAUCUGUUUGAACAGGGUAAUGAAAAGGGUAAUCUCAAGAUGCUGGAACAGUAACAGGCUGCGGUAAAUCAGAGACAGAGUUGUAUCAGAAGAUGCUGGUAAAACAAGAAAAAUCUGAGAAGUCUUCAAGUAGUUAUGAUCAAGUUCAGAAGAAGAUCAUCAGGGCAUUCAUUGGUUCAAGAUUGUUUCAGGUUGUGUGGAACGUGGCUGAUGAGUUUUGUUUGGUUUUCUUAAGGCUGACUGUGUUGAAACAAGAAUUGUUUUGUUGAGACAAAGAUGAAACAGUGAGAGCUUCAGUGUAAGCUGGGAGUUCGAGAUCAUGUUUCAAACAGAGCUGUAUUAAAGGGAUGGUGGUAAAACUUUAGGUUUGAUACAGUUUUGUGUUUAGUGUAAGUGUGUAACACAAGAGGGUGUUUGGUGUAACACUGAUCAAGUUUUACACGAAUCUGAGAAAACAAGAAGCUGUAGUCUCAAGUGGAGUUAGCAAGGUUGCUGGCGGUUCUAACAAGACUGAAGAAGUCUGAAAUUGUUUCAUAAAUGGCUGAGCUUGAUGGUUUGAAUACUCAAGUUUUGGUGUUUUGUGGAUAGUAAUCUGGCCAUGGAAAGAACAAGUAAGGUCACAGCGAAGUUUUCUGUCACGGAAACAGUGGCGACGUACAAUUUCUUUCAACAUCAGAAGGAGGAGUACAUGGUGUAACCAAUGGUUUACGCUGGAGCCAUUUCAGCAGUGAUUUAUGAAAGAAAUGAGCUUGUAAGGGUUCAUUUAUGGACUGAUCUUUAGGAGUUAGAAGUAAAGGGAUCUCCAAAUACGUGGUCGUUGAGAGCAAGGUGAUAUGUCACAUACUGUGAUAUUGUGUGCUCCAAGAAGAAGUCUUAUGCAAGAAUCUGGUGGGUGAACAAGAAGGUUUUACUAAAGUUUUGAAGCUAAGUCUAAGAGACAAGAUGGGUCUCAAGCGACUGUGUUAUUCAGGUGGAGUUACUGAUAUUUUGUACACAGUAUGGUAUCUAGUAAUUCUCGAGAGAAAUUAGUAAAGAAAGUUUAUUCUCUAAGAGCGAUGUAAAUCACUGAAAGAGGGAAUACUUUGGUUCUUGUGGAGAUCAUUGCAACAGAAAAAAGCUUAGGGAAGAUUACAUGUGGGAAUCAAAAGCAUGUACAAUGAAUUGGAGAAGCCAUUUGGAGAAGACAAGUGGCUGGGUUUUCUGAGUUUUGUAAGAAGUUCAGAUAAGUGAGUUUGAGAUGAAGGGUUUUCUCUGAAGAUAACAAAGAGAUUUCAAGAAGUGGGGAGAGACAUGAAUCAAUUGUGCCUGGUAUGUCUCAUGUAUACUUCGUUGAAAGAUGUUGUCUGUUCACGGAGACAGGUGGAGUUCAUCUCUGAUGGGUUUAGGCAACAGAGUGUGUUCCAAGAAACAGAAGACAAGUUGCUGGGUUAUUUGGUGAUAAGGACUAGUUUACAUCUAGCUUAUCAAGUGCAUUAUCAUUUGAAGAUAUCUUCUCAAGUAAACUUUUGCAAGACAUGCAAGUGGAGCUUCCAGUUUCAUUGGCACAGUGAAAUGAGCUGAUGAGAAGAUGAUGGUUUUUUGGUUAAGUCCAGAAUGGGAAUGAUGCAAGUACCAAGUAGUUGUGGAGUCUACAUGUAAGUGAAGGUUCUACUGGGUUAUUCGUCAGCUGAAAGUGUCAUCAUAAGAUCCGGAUUUGAUGUAGUGGCUGCGUAGAAGUUUGAAAGGGUGCUCGUAGUGUUUAAAAUCUGCUGGUGGAAGUUCUGAUGAAAAACAGAACAGUUGAACAAAGUCUUGUUCAGGAUUGGCUUGUUAGUCAAGUCACUGUAAAUGUUUAUCUCAGGUUAUGCUGUGAUUGCUAACUGGUUGUUGAGAUCAUUUACGAGGCUGAAUCAAAGGGCUUCUGCGUUUUUUUGAAGCAAAGGUGAUUCUGAUUUAUUUUGUAGUUGAUUCAAGGAGCUGGAGAGCGUAAAAGCUAGCAAGUGGGAAUCAAGGCUACAAAAAUUUAUGUAUCUGUCAACCAUUAAGCUUGAAGUAUGGCUGUCGCGAAAGCCAUUGAGGAGGAGAUUGGUUGAAAGUGAGCAGUUCAAGAAGAACAAGAACUUGCUGAGAGUUUCAAGACAGUGAAGCUCAAGGAAUCCGGGACCUGGAAGCUAGAGAUGUGUGAAGAAUUCAAAACCAAGGUGGAGAUUGAAACCGUCUCUACCGUCAAGCUUCUCCGCCAUUCUUAUGAAAGACACAAGCUUUAACCCAUAACCUGGGCUCUGAUACUAAUUUGUAGAGAACUCCAUGAUCUACACUAGAGCAUUUUGCUUGUUAUGCUCUUUGUGAAGACACACACUAACACACGAAAUGAAAGACACCAAGAACAGAACACAAUCAACAAGAAAGAUAAAUGUGCACACGAGAGUUUAACGAGUUCGCGCCCAUAACCGGGUCACUACAUCUCGCCGGGACCUUGCCCGGAAUCCACUAGAGAUUGUCACCAAUACAAGGUAUUCUCAAGCUGCCCCCUUUCUACCCUUUUGUUCUCACUCUCGUUCUUGUUAACUUCUCCUAAAGUCUACACCUAUAUAUUUGUGAUCAUAUUGGAGUUAAUCACAUUUGUGAUCUGAAAUCGAAUCUAGUAAUGAAAUCUCUCUUUGUCUGUAAACAUAGCAAAUUUGGUGAACACGUUAAAUCUGUGUGGAGUAUUACUUUAUCACGUUUAUUCAUUUUUUCUUUCAUUUAUUCAUUUCUUUCCGCAUUGUCCUUCUCAGUCUGUGUUAACACAAAGCCUUGCUGAGAGUAAGAACUUUGAUAGAAUCUCAGGAAUGAGAUAGGCAUGCUAAAUAUGAAGAGUCUUGGACUCUUGGGUCAAGUCACAAUAUUAUAUGGACAGCCAGUGUCUGCAUAAGAUUUGGUUAAUAAGAAGUUGAUAUUGAGACAAAACAAAUGAAGAACAGUUUGUU